AGCUCCAAUAGCGUAUAUUAAAGUUGUUGCAGUUAAAAAGCUCGUAGUUGGAUUUCUGCCGUGGUGCGCCUGGCCCGGCCUCUAGGGGUUGUGAGCCGGCGCGCACCGGGCAUCCUUCGUGUGAACACGUCUGCCGUUGAUUCGGUUCGGGCGUGGGAACACGAUCGUUUACUUUGAAGAAAUUAGAGUGUUCAAAGCAGGCAUUUGCUGUGAAUAGGUUAGCAUGGAAUAAUAAGAUAGGGCUUCGGUUCUAUUUUGUUGGUUUCUAGGACUGAAGUAAUGAUUGAUAGGGAUAGUUGGGGGUGCUCGUAUUGACCGGCCAGAGGUGAAAUUCACGGAUUCGGUCAAGACGAACUUAUGCGAAAGCAUUCACCAAGGAUGUCUUCU
rnacentral:rRNA from 1 species